rnacentral:rRNA from 1 species
GAUGAACGCUGGCGGCGUGCCUAAUACAUGCAAGUCGAGCGAACAGAUAAGGAGCUUGCUCCUUUGACGUUAGCGGCGGACGGGUGAGUAACACGUGGAUAACCUACCUAUAAGACUGGGAUAACUUCGGGAAACCGGAGCUAAUACCGGAUAAGAUUUUGAACCGCAUGGUUCAAUAGUGAAAGACGGCCUUGCUGUCACUUAUAGAUGGAUCCGCGCCGUAUUAGCUAGUUGGUAAGGUAACGGCUUACCAAGGCAACGAUCCGUAGCCGACCUGAGAGGGUGAUCGGUCACACUGGAACUGAGACACGGUCCAGACUCCUACGGGAGGCAGCAGUAGGGAAUCUUCCGCAAUGGGCGAAAGCCUGACGGAGCAACGCCGCGUGAGUGAUGAAGGUCUUCGGAUCGUAAAACUCUGUUAUCAGGGAAGAACAAACGUGUACGUAACUGUGCACGUCUUGACGGUACCUGAUCAGAAAGCCACGGCUAACUACGUG